GGGAGGUAGAGGCGUGCAUGUACAUGUCGAGUCGAGCGAGACCUUUUAAAGCUUGCUUUUGAAAGGUCAGCGGCGGACGGGUGAGUAACACGUGGGCAACCUGCCUGUAAGACUGGGAUAACUUCGGGAAACCGGAGCUAAUACCGGAUAAUAUAAGGAACCUCCUGGUUCUUUAUUGAAAGAUGGUUUCGGCUAUCACUUACAGAUGGGCCCGCGGCGCAUUAGCUAGUUGGUGAGGUAACGGCUCACCAAGGCAACGAUGCGUAGCCGACCUGAGAGGGUGAUCGGCCACACUGGGACUGAGACACGGCCCAGACUCCUACGGGAGGCAGCAGUAGGGAAUCUUCCACAAUGGACGAAAGUCUGAUGGAGCAACGCCGCGUGAGCGAUGAAGGCCUUCGGGUCGUAAAGCUCUGUUGUUAGGGAAGAACAAGUGCGAGAGUAACUGCUCGCACCUUGACGGUACCUAACCAGAAAGCCACGGCUAACUACGUGCCAGCAGCCGCGGUAAUACGUAGGUGGCAAGCGUUGUCCGGAAUUAUUGGGCGUAAAGCGCGCGCAGGUGGUCCUUUAAGUCUGAUGUGAAAGCCCACGGCUCAACCGUGGAGGGUCAUUGGAAACUGGGGGACUUGAGUGCAGAAGAGGAAAGUGGAAUUCCAAGUGUAGCGGUGAAAUGCGUAGAGAUUUGGAGGAACACCAG
rnacentral:rRNA from 1 species